ACUUAAUAUGUGCGCCUGCUGUAAAUAUGGACGAACAGCAAUAUGUAGGCUUUAGGUGGGUUUUGUAUUAAGUUCAAGAUCGCCCAUAAAGGACCUACAGAGAUUU